UAACCUACUGGCUCAAUAAAUUUGAGUAGUUGCUUAAACCCUCUGGCCUUAUGUUGCCUACUGAAUGGUGAAAUUAAACUCAAUUUACAAGGUUGUAGAGAAUGAAAUGAGAUGUCACCACCUUAAUUGACAUGCACAUAUUCCCAGCACAUCUGUGAUCCUUUUUUCUAGGUGACCCAGCUGACAGAGAGGUCCAAGGAAUCUUCAGAUGACCAAGAGAAACAAUAAUUCUGAGGUGAGCAUUUCUUGGGAGAAGCCGCACCCAAUGCUACUGAGAAUGGAGGAGACAGGUGACUGAUCUGCUAUGGCAGCUUUGACAGGUAUCAAGAACACCCCGGAGGCCCUGUUGAAAGUCCUGCCUUUCGCAGCCUCUUGGUGCCCUGCAUUACUAGAGACCCUUUCAACAAAACCAGGAUGUGAGAAUACCUGUCAGAUAUUGAAUGAAGGACAACAAGGGAUUCUUCCCUGAAUACACACUGACAUUCAGGGAGUUCUCAAUAAAGAGUCUGCCCCACCCGCAUUUAUGGUGAAGCUCAAGAGCUGAGGAUCAUUUCUGUCAUGAAAUUAGAGGACAGAAGAUGAAGUAUUGGACACAAGAUGAACUAUUGGAGUUUAUUUGAGGAAAGGUUAAAAAAAAGUCAGUACUGGGAAACAAUAAAGAAACAGAAUUCUAGAGAAAACUGAUAGUUCUUCAGAGAACAGAAAAAGUUAUCAAAACCACACUAUAUUACCACAAACAUAAGAAAAAACAUUAGUCAAGUACAGUAUACUGUGAUAAAAACAAAACAAACCCCCAGAAAAGUAAUGAACUCCUAGAAUUAAAAGCAUAAGAAAUAUGUGUAUGCAAGCAUAUGCAUGUGCAUGUGAGUGCACUGCUCACAGAGGCCAGAAGAGGGCGCCAGACCUCUUGAAUCUAGAAUUACAGGCACUUAUGAGCUGACCCCUGUGGGUGCUGGGAAGGAAAUUCUGUUCUUCUGCAGUAUGUACUCUUAACCACUGAAUCAUCUCUCAAGUCUGCAAAAUAAACACUUUAAAAAAAAGACUUCUGGAAGAGACAGCAGAGGGGGAGGUAGAAACAAAUGCCACAACAAAAGCAAUAAUAAUGCAAAGGAAGAAGACAGGAGAAAAAUCAGAAAUUACCUCACCCUAAGAAUAGCAUUCACAUUUUGCAGGUUUUAAACUUUAGUUUAGUUUAGUUUGCUGUCCAGAUUUUACACCUAGCUUUUACACAGCUGUAGUCACACAAUUGGCUGCUGUAUAUUUCUUAAUCUAUUACCAGGAGAUAACAUCUUCCUGGGGGCUGGAGAGAUGGCUCAGUGGUUAAGAGUGCAGAUUGCUCUUCCAGAGGUCCCGAGUUCAAACCCUAGCAAUCACAGGGUGGCUCACAACCAUCUGUAAAGAGAUCUGAUACCCUCUUCCGGUGUGUCUGAAGACAGCUACAGUGUACUUAUAUAUAAAAUAAAUAAAUAAAUCUUAAAAAUAUAAACAAAAAA